rnacentral:misc_RNA from 1 species
UGGUUCUGGCAUCGAUGAAGAACGCAGCGAAAUGCGAUAAGUAAUGUGAAUUGCAGAAUUCAGUGAACCAUCGAAUCUUUGAACGCAUAUUGCGCCCAUUAGUAUUCUAGUGGGCAUGCCUAUUCGAGCGUCAUUUCAACCCUUAAGCACCUUAAGCUUAGUGUUGGGAGUCUGCGCCUAACGGCGCAGUUCCCCAAAGACAGUGGCAGUGUUAGGUACACUCGUAGCGUAGUAAUUCUUUUCUCGCUCCUGUAGUGUCGCCUAGCCUACUCGCCGUUAAAACCCUCCAUUUUUUAAAAAAAGGUUGACCUCGGAUUAGGUAGGAAUACCCGCUGA